CCCUGGAAUGAGUAGGUGUGUCCAAACUUUUGGCUGGUACUGUAUAUAUCUCGUGAAUCUCACACAAAUUGAAAAAAUCUAGGUAAUUUAUUUUUAGGCCAUAUCACCCAGCCAUAGUUAGUCUCUUGCCCCUGGUAGAAACAGUUGAAAGGGUAGUCCAAAACAGAGCUCAUUUUGAAGUAUCCAUCACCUAGGCUAACAAGUGAAUGAAGUUUGUGUAAAAUAGGAAAAAUACUUUGCAAACAACUCUUCUAAGUGCACAAAAAGUAGACACCCCAAUAAUCUACAGUUCUCCACAUAGUUGGGAUUUAGGACAAAUGUGACUUUGCAUCAAUAUCCAAUUAAGAAAAUUCCAUUGAUGUCAAUGUGUAAGUGCACAAUAUGCACAACGAUUUGAAUUCUAGCCCGAGUCAGUUGUUACCGUGCAACUGUUUAGGCUUUGUGGUCACUGUAGUUUCCAUAUGCUAGUAUGAGUCAGCAUAAGACUGCUGACCCUCAAGAUGGCUGCCUGCUCUCGCAGUGUAUUCAACGUUGGUUACAGAGGGAGAGGAGCCCUAAACUAACACAGCUUGUUUUAACCUCAUUUUCAUCAUCUCCAGCACCAUACCGGUGUCUUCAUACAUGGCUAGUACUCCUAGGGAGUGCAUUGUUUGGCCUGAGAUCUGAGGGUUUAGGUUCUUAAAGGAAGCCUCCGUGUUGGCACAGCCAGGUUGGGUUGGGCUGAGGCUCAUCCCUGGACAAAUCUGUUCUCACUAAAUCUACACUCUCCCCACCACACUCUCCUCUUCCCAUGGUGUGUGCGUGUGUGCGUGUUGUUAAUAUCCAAAUCCUAGUGAUGAAAAUGUGACGUCAACCUCGAACACUGUUCCCAUUGUUUUCACACACACGCUUUUCGGCUUUUACAGUGCUGUGGUCACACGUUUGACGAGCACACACGCUCACACACACGCUCACACACGACCACACAAGCAGCUCUAGUGUCUCUUGGAUAUACACUCACUUACAUUAAUAAAUAUUUACAAAAGUCUCUUCUCUAUGGUGACUCACAGACAUAUUACACACACGCUCGCGCACACACACACCAUGCAGAGUAUGGGACUGUAUGCCUGAUGGCAUCCCAUGUGAUCGCCUGAAUAGCGGGUCUAUCCUUGGAUUCUUCACCCUCUUGUUCAUCCUGUUAUCUGAGAACUGGUGAUCCAUUUAUUGAUCAAAAAGUAACCAUUAUGGAUGUGUUCAUCCAUAUAACAAUAGUGCACAAUGUUCAGUGCUAAAGUUUACCUUGGUACAGACAACUGACUAUUGUGACUUGCGUCAACAGAUGACCAUCUAUGUAUUGACAGUAUUGUUACUGUAUGUAUUGACAGUAUUGUUACUGUAUGUAUUGACAGUAUUGUUACUGUAUGUAUUGACAGUUUCAUGUAUUGACAGUAUCGUUAUGCCUGUCUGUGAAUAAAGCAGCUAUCAUGCCUCAAGUCAAGGAACAGUGAAACCUGAUUGUUCUGUGUCUUCUCUCCUUCCUCCCGCCAUCCUCUUCCUUGAGUGGCCCGAGGGCCGCGUACGGACGUGCUGGGGGCCGCGUGCGGACGUGCUGGCUGCUCCUGUCGGAGAUAAAGGAGCUGCGUGAGGAGACACUGGACUUCCUUGUAAACAUGUGCACUCAGCGCCAGCGUGGAGAGCCCUACGCUGUGAGGCAUGGAGGAGGAGAAAGAGGGAACCACAUUGCGAAGACCCCUGCUCCUGGGGUGUCUGUUGCAGUACUCGCACACUGUGAGCUGGCCCGGGGAGAGAUCCUGAGGUGGCUGGAAGAGAGGAGGCAGGAAGGAAGGAAAGGAGAGGGAUGGAGAAGGGUCGAGAGGCACCCUCUGGCCCCAGGAGACAAUCAUCUCUACCCUCACUACCCUGGCCCUGCAUGAGACCCACCCUCAGUCUCCAGCUUCAGUCUCCAAGUAAAUCAAAGGGCAGGAGGAUCGGAGGAUAUCCUGAUGUAGCAAAGGUUUGUUCACUUAUAAACCAGGUUAGUCCUGUUUUUAACUGGGGAUCAUUCAAUCGUUAAAACCUGGGUUGGUGGUGUAUGAAUGUAGCAUGCGUGCAACUAACAGUCUCCUUUUGGCCAGGAAUCCCCUAUCCGUCAGAGCCGAGGCCCAGAUUAGUUUACUAACAAUGACUGAAGAAACAGCAUAUAGAGAAAGUGAUCCUCUGUAGAAAAUCCCCUACGUUUAGAACAAGAGCUAAAAUCACUCCUCGGUGUUAGUUCCUCUAGUCUAGCCUGGAGACGGACACCUAGAGUCCCACCAGGUUCCAAGUUUUGGCAUACAAACGUUGGCAGAGGCUGAAGGAGAGGUUAAUGUAGCUGUACCUGGUCUAAGUACAGUCCUUAAGGCUCCCUCUGGAGAAUGACCUAGGUGGCCAUUGACAGCUGCCAUUAUUGAAGGUUGACUUCACUUUAACCUUCCUGAACCAGCUUUUAUAUGUUUAUGAUUACAGAUUUGUUGUGAUAGUUGUUAUUGAGUACUACAGUACAGGCUAUUGGGAUCAGAAGCUAUAGCCUUGAUCUCACACUCUGGUUCUUGCGGAGACAUAGCAGGAAGUUGGGGCUGUAAAGUGUGUGUUCAUUUGACACCCCUCUCUCACACGCGCACACACACACACACACACACACACACCUCAACACUUCCUGGUCUCUGCUCAUCUGCACGGUGUGUGUGUGUGUGUGUGUAACUGCCAGUGAAUGUGUGUGGGCAUAUGGGUACAGGUAUACAAAGAUUUGAACCAUUUGAGUCCCAGCACUCAAAACAGAUUGGUUUCUCUGAGCUGUGGAGAGUGAAGGGUUAAGCAGAGCAGGGCCUUGUUAAAAAGGCAGGUGGAGAGCAGGGGCUGGUGUGGUCCCCAGGUUAGGGGCCCAGGUGAGGUAAAACUGGGAAUAGAGGUACCGUGGCCCCAUAUCCCUCUGAUGUGGGUAACUGAGCAGAGGUGGCUGAACACACAGCAUGAUGACACCAGGGAGAGAUGAGGGAGGGAGGUCCACCAAUCUCUCUUAUUUCACCACUAUCAUUACAGCCCGCCUCCCCCAAAAUCCCCCUCUGUCAUUGGGACACCCAACACCCCCCAGCUGCAGAAGCUAAGUGUCAUAGCUGUCGCUUUCCUCAUCCUCAGAUGAGGUGAGGAGAGAAGGAUCUUCUGACCAAAAUGCGGAGUCUGGGAAAUAUGCCAUCUUUAUUUUAUAACGAACACCGAUGACAACGAAAACAAACACUUUCAAAACUUACAAAAUAACA